rnacentral:rRNA from 1 species
UAUGUAGGCAGCAAGCGUUGUUCGGAGUUACUGGGCGUAAAGGGUGUGUAGGCGGUUUUUUAAGUUUGGUGUGAAAUCUCCCGGCUCAACUGGGAGGGUGCGCCGAAUACUGAAAGACUAGAGUGCGGGAGAGGAAAGUGGAAUUCCUGGUGUAGCGGUGAAAUGCGUAGAUAUCAGGAGGAACACCGGUGGUGUAGACGGCUUUCUGGACCGUAACUGACGCUGAGACACGAAAGCGUGGGUAGCAAACAGG